rnacentral:rRNA from 1 species
ACGGAAGGCAGCAGUGGGGAAUAUUGCACAAUGGGGGAAACCCUGAUGCAGCGACGCCGCGUGAGUGAAGAAGUAUUUCGGUAUGUAAAGCUCUAUCAGCAGGGAAGAAAAUGACGGUACCUGACUAAGAAGCCCCGGCUAACUACGUGCCAGCAGCCGCGGUAAUACGUAGGGGGCAAGCGUUAUCCGGAUUUACUGGGUGUAAAGGGAGCGUAGACGGUAAUGCAAGUCAGAAGUGAAAGCCCAGGGCUCAACCGUGGGACUGCUUUUGAAACUGCAAUACUGGAGUGCAGGAGAGGUAAGUGGAAUUCCUAGUGUAGCGGUGAAAUGCGUAGAUAUUAGGAGGAACACCAGUGGCGAAGGCGGCUUACUGGACUGUAACUGACGUUGAGGCUCGAAAGCGUGGGGAGCAAACAGGAUUAGAUACCCUGGUA